AGCAAACAGAGAGGUUCUGAUAGCAGUCUGGCGGCCUCUUGUUUAGCCAGCAGAGAUUUCAGUUAUUGCUUCGGGGAAUGGCUUGGCUGAGAUAUUUUUAAUUUACAUUUUUUUCUUCCUUCUAAUGAAGGAUUGAAUUAUGACUUACUAGAAAAUCCCCAGUGUCUUGGAGAGAGAGAUGUUGACUAACUUCCUCUGACUUGGAGUUGAACUAUUUAUUGAAGCUGGGUUUUAAGUCACAGGGGUGGCAUUUUGAAAGAUUUCUGCAUUUAGGGCAGCACUGUCCAGAAAAGCCUUUAGCUCCCUUCAGGUGUCAUAACUUCAGCACAGUGGGCAGUGUUGUAAAAGAUAAAAAGGGCAUUUCUGGACCAGUUGUUUGCACUACUGGAAUGUCCAUCCUGGUAGGAUCAGUCACAUGGUCUGAAGUCAGAAACAUUUCUGGCCCCUCUGAACCUGCCACUGCCUUGGCAGGUAGGGAAUCCCAAAUGUCAGCCUCUAUAUUGCCACCACCUGCUAAAGACACAGUUCCUAAUGGACAGACAUUAGUAAACAGUAAUCUUUGUGCUAAAACAAUAGCUCUCUGUCUGCCACAUAGUGGGAAUGGUAAAAAUGUGGAUGUUGCAAAAUGUAAUUACUGGCCUGGAAAUGUUCCUUCUGUGGCAGAUGGUAUGAUCAAGAGCAAAGACAGACAUGUCCUUCCACAAACCAAGGGUAAUGGUUACACAAUAGGCUUAGGUAAUAGCUACUAGAGGAGACAGCUUUAGGUAAAACUCAGGAAUGUGUAUUAAAAGAACUUUGAAUCCAGACAUCUCAAGGGAAAUGAGAAUGUGAAUCCCACUACAAGCCUGAUACACCCAGUUCAGGCUUCAAGGAACAGAGUGCAUGUGUCAGGUUUGCCUGUUCCUAAGACAGUGCAUAUUCAGUGUGUCCAUAAUUUCAGGGAAAGAAUUUAAAAAGAAAGAAAGCGGCACCAAAACUGAGAACAGAAUUCAAGCAUAAUGACCUUGGAAUAACAUUUACUCUGUGCCUCCAGUUUUCUGAAAACAGCUUUCAACUGCAAAAAUAUUUUUUGAAGUUGCCUAUUAGAGAAAUCUGUCCUGAAGCUUAUUUCACAGUUUCCUUAUUGCUACAGUGCCAGCCAGUAUAUGGUAUCUCAAGGUGCAUGUUCAUUUGUUUAACCCACCUUCUAUAUAACUGCUGCACUCCCAGCCCUUAUUGCAAAAAUAGAGCAUUUUCCUGAGAGUUGGAUGAGACAUGCUGUGGCGUUCAAUUAAUGCAUUUUUUUUCUAAAUGCAAGGAUUUUUUUUCCCCCCAAGUACUAAGCCAAGUAACACAUGGAAAAGAGCCUUUAAUGUUUUGUAAAAAACAGUCCCCAUUUGGUAAUGUACGCUGCAAGUUGAAAGAUGGCAUUCUGGCUUUUCCAAUUGCUUCAAAAAGACACACUAUUUCCUAUUUAUUGUUUCUAUUUGGCAAAGCUCAGAUUCUUAAAAGCAAGAGGGAGAUAAUUUCCUAAAGAAAUUGAAUUUUCUUUCUGAUAAUUAAGGCCUUGAGAGUCCAAUAUUUAGAAAAACUCCAAAAUAGAAAGAUUAAGAAGAAACAUUUUUUUGAUGGCACGCAAUUUAAGUCUAAAAGACAAUUGCAAGUUGUCUCUUUUCUCAUUGGUAUAGCCAUUGAACUGCUUAUAUCACAUGUACAGAAAACGAGGUUUGCUCUUAGAAUUUCCUAUUUAUUUAGCUGGACAUAUUAGUAGACAGUAAUUAUCCAUGAGAACUAAUGUGGGUCCCUCAACAUUAUCAACUCAAUAGAUGAUUCGCUGACGAAUGACAGAGCAUUGAUGAUCACUGCUCUAGACAUCCAAGGACUAAGUAUAAAACCACUGAGUGGGACAGCUGUCCUUGCUGUAGUCCUAAGUGAAAGCGGUAUGCUGAGAGCACAGCUGGGGGACAUAGGUCCAGGUCCACCACAUUCCAAUUGCCACACAAGAGAUGCCUCCUGGGGACCAAGAAGUAGUGAUAAGCAUGAACCUAUGCCACGCUGAUAUCUCUCAAUGGUUGCUAUCAAGUGUGCACAUUAAUGACAAUUACCCAUUGUAGUAAUCAUGGUUUAUGCCAAUUUUUCUCUUUUUUAUGACUGUACUGUAUGACGGUUGAGUCAGAUCUGCAGCUGCCUGCUUACACCACAGACAGCCACAGCAAUGCCAGAUCCAAGCCAUGUCUGCAACCUAUACCACAGCUCAUGGCAAUGCCAGAUCCUUUAACCCACUGAGCGAGGCCAGGGAUUGAACCUGCAUUCUCAUAGAUACUAGUUGGGUUCUUAACCUUCUGAGCCACUGGGAACUCCUAUGCCAAUUUUUUAAUGACCUAGGAGCCCUAUAUUUUUAAUUCAUUUUGUUGAAAGUACCCAAAUGAGGAUAACCCCUCCCAAAGUAGAUACCUAUUUCCAAGUCUUUAGAAGGCACUAGAUUUUAGAUAAGAAAUUAUACUUCUCAGGAACAGUAUGAUUUCCUCAAAUGAAGUGUCUUUCUGAAAUUUUUAGGGAAAAAAACUAAUAAUGAAGUAUUAAGCAUAGUUUGUUUGAGUAGUGUUUUACCUAAUAAUACUAAGAUUCUUUAGACCAUUCAUGUAUAAUGAUGAGGGAGGAAAUGGCUGUCAUUCAUCAUGAAGUAAGAGAAGUGAUUACGGUCACUUAUCACUUGGAAACAAAGAUGUGCAUUAGGAUCUAUGAGGCCCCUUCACCUGUUCUGUUAUUCUUCAAAGGUGGAAAACGUGCCUUCCUCUUCAUUCCUAUAAAUCUGCCAUGUAGACCAAGCUCCUGAUCUCACUCUCAUUCCUUUUGUUCUUUACAAUAUUGUAUGUGCUGAGCUAUGAUUUUAAUUAUUAAUGAUAUUUUAAACAUUAAAACUCUGGACAGUGUGCCAUAUCUUACUCAUCAUGACAGCCCCAGAACCAGGGUGAUUGGGAGUGGGGAGUAGAAGAGGGUUGGGUGACUUUCUGCCCACAAAUGUGACUUUCUGUGGAUAAAUGAGCAUGAAGAAAGGAGAUAAGCCUUUUCAGAAUAUAGUUGAAAUACCAUCAUCAAACUACCAAACUUAGAUUUACACUGUGUAAUAUCUGUGACUGACCCACUGUCUAACUGCUUGCAAAUGGUUUCUCCUCCAAGCAGAAGUAGGUAAUGAGAAUUUUAUUCUAUCAAUUCUCUAUUUCAAACAGAAUUCUGUAGGAGGUGCCGGCCUCUUUAUACAUUAUUAAAUCUCUCACUGAGGAUUUUUUUUUCCUCUGAAAUCUGACCUGAGGUUUUCAUUGGAAACUAUUGAAUUCUGAGUUGAUUUGAAAUGCUUAGCAACUUAGAUGAGCUGCACUACUUUGAAUUAGAUUUCAUGUUCCAAGUACUGAAGUGUGUUUUCAAUAUCUGCAAAAGAAUCUAAGACCUUCUGUCCUCUGCCAUCCCCACCUCACUAUGCCAUAGUCAGGCUGCAUUCAGUACCAUGUAGUGGGUUCUCUUGUUUCCAGCAGAAGUGAGCACUGAGUUGGAAGCCCUCUCUUUCCUACUUUAUAAUUCCAGCUAGAACAUACUUGGAGCCUAAAGAAGCUUGUGGAUUUUCCCUGCUCCAUCUUGUCCUUUUCUGUCCCAGCUUACACCUGCUCUGCAAGAAAUGUGCUGUCAGUUGCCUAAUGCAGUAAGGGAACUAAAUAGGGAUUUUCAUAAAUAGGGGAAACAGAUGGAGGCUAGAAGCUUUUGCGAAGUUAAAAGAAUUGUGUGCUUAAUAGACUAAAUGCUUAAUAGCAGUAAUAGCUGCCAAGUCACUACAUAACUCACUAAUAUGCAUGAACUGUAGCAGCAAGAAAGUGACUGCUUUCAGUCUCAAGGACUUUCCUCAAAACUCAAGGUUGUAAGAACCUAACCUAGAGAAUAAUUACUUGUCCAGACGUGAUAACAGACUCUGGCAGAACAAAAAUGACAGCUUGAUUCACAGACAAAUAUAAGUCGGUCUUGGAUGUCUGGCUUCCAUUUUUCUGUGGAGAGAUAGAUGUCUUUAAAAAGCCUCAGCAGUGAACAUCCUGUCAGUUUAAAAGGUCAGACACUGAAGUGUAUCAGAAGAGAUGAUGCUGCACAGACCAUUGAGAGAAAAGAAAAUGAUUUCAUUAUCCUCGUUCAUCUGCUACGGAUUAAUUCAGUUCCCAUCAUUGUGGCAAUUAAGACACUUUUGUAUGCUGUCCUGACCUAGUUGAGGAACCAGGUAAUAAAAAGCAGCACCAGACAGGAGGGCAACAAUGGCUGAGCUACUGUUCCUUAGAAACCAACGCUGUUUGGAAUGGAGUUCCAGGUUGAUACAUUCAACAGCAAUUGCUUAAGAAAAAAGAACACAGACAAAAACAACCUCUAGAAACAUUUCCCUGUAUGUCAGAAAGUAAAUUUGCAUCUUGGAUAGCCAUGAGCCACACCAGGGCUUGGAAACAGCCCUGUGAGAAACAUUUUGCUGUAGAAUUGGAUGAGAAUGCUAGAGUAUUGCUCCCCUACCAUGUCAAAAAGGGGGCUGAUUUUCUGCCAAUCUCAACUUCUCAGAAGUUUAAAUGCAACAUCUAGAAAGAGAAAACAAUGGAUCUUCCUAAACUGGCUGCUUCUGAUUUUCUCUUUGCUCAGUCACUCCAGCUGAAAACCUUUGUCAUCAUGUUAAACCAUUCACCUAGGAACCCUUAAAUUACUUGCCAAUGUAUAUUCAUUGUACUUCCACUGCCUUCACAACGUCUUCUUUAUCUCUUCCCUCCUUUCCACUCCCAUUUACACAAUCCUCGCAGAAGCUCUCAUUACUCCUCACUUGGACAACCAUAAUAGCUUUAUAACUGUCUCCUCACCUGCCCUUUCCAAACCCUAAUGCAUUCUACUCACAACUGACAUAUUAAUCUUCCUAAAGUCUAUCUUUAAUCAUGUCACCCCCUUGCUCUAAAAUGUCAAAUGGCUUCCCAGUGACUACUAAAUGAAUACUAAGUUUUCACCCUAGCAUUCAAGGCUCCCGAGAGUAAGCCUUAGCUGUUCAUUUGUGCCUUGUUUCUCAUUAGUCUUCCAUGUCCCUUGUGCUCUGGUCAAUCAAGAUUGUGAACCAGUCUGAAGCCACAUUUCCUGAGCAGCUCCAUUUGUUUCUGCUCAUUCUUGUCCUGCUGCUUGGAAUGUCCCUUCCCCUUACUUUAGCUCAGAAUCCAACCCAUUCUGCAAGGUCAGUCAUGAAAUGCUUCAUAGAGCACUUUUUCACUUUCCUCACAGAACAUAAUUUAUCUCUUGUUAUUUAUGACUCUCUUAAGGCACUAAUCAUAACCCUACGGACUAGUUAAAAGAUUGCAAGGACUUAGAAAUUGCAAGACGAUCUAUUCAACUUUGUCUCCUAUAAAUUAAGGCAAAAUAUAUCGUCUUUUAAAAAUGUCAGUUUAGAUAAUCAAAUUCAACAAAUAUUUAUUAAGAGUCAGCCCUAUGCUUGAAAUGCAUCAACUAACAAAAUAAAAACCUUACAUUCUCAAGGGAAGAGACAGACCCACGACAUUUCAAAACAUACAAAGUAAGUAAGUAAACCGUAUAGCAUGUUGUAAGAUGAUAAGUGUGAUCUUUAAAAAAAAAAAGUAGAACGGAAUAAAGAGGAUGGGAGAGGCAGGAACAGGUUGAAAUUUUAACUUGGGUUAUCAGGGUAGACCUCAUUACAAAGAUAAUAUUGAAGCAGUCUUAAAGGGGGCAAAGAGUUCACCAUGUGUCUGUCUAAGAAAAUGCAGUCUCAGCUAAGGAAACAGCAAGUGCAAAGGCCCUGAUGUCUGGGAUAUUCAAUAAAGAGCAAAGAAUUUGGUGUGAUAGGAGUGGAAUGAAUAAGGAAGAGAGCAGGAAGGGGCAAGUUCAGAGGAUAAUGAAAGGCAGAGAACAGACUGUGAAGGGCCUCAUAGUCCACUGUAAGACUUUUUAUUUUCUACUCAGAGUGAAAUGGGAGCCACUGCAGGUUUUUGGCAUAUCCAAUUAAUCUGACUUGCAUUUUAAGUGGAUCACUCUGACUGCUCUGUUGUGAUUGUGAUAGGCAAAGAGGAAGCAUGGAGCCUUAUUAGGAGUAUAUUAUAUGAACAUGGCAAGAGGUGAUAAUGGCUUAGGUGUGAGUGAUGGAGUUCCUGUCAUGGCUCAGUGGUUAAAGAAUCUGACUAGGAACCAUAAGGUUCCAAGUUCAAUCCCUGGCCUUGCUCAGUGGGUUAAGGAUCCAGUGUUGCUGUGAGCUGUGGUGUAGGUUGCAGAUGUGGCUCAGAUCCCAAGUUGCUGUGGCUCUGGUGUAGGCCGGCGGCUACAGCUCCUAUUAGACCCCUAGCCUGGGAACCUCCACAUGCCGCAGGAGUGGCUCAAGAAAAGGCAAAAAGACACAC
rnacentral:lncRNA from 1 species